UACGUAGGGUGCAAGCGUUAAUCGGAAUUACUGGGCGUAAAGCGUGCGCAGGCGGUUUUGUAAGUCUGUUGUGAAAUCCCCCGGGCUCAACCUGGGAAUGGCAAUGGAGACUGCAAGGCUAGAGUUUGGCAGAGGGGGGUAGAAUUCCACGUGUAGCAGUGAAAUGCGUAGAUAUGUGGAGGAACACCGAUGGCGAAGGCAGCCCCCUGGGUCAAAAACUGACGCUCAUGCACGAAAGCGUGGGGAGCAAACAGG
rnacentral:rRNA from 1 species